UACGGGGGGGAGCAAGCGUUGUUCGGAUUUACUGGGCGUAAAGGGCGCGUAGGCGGUCAGCACAAGUCAGUUGUGAAAUCUCCGGGCUUAACUCGGAAAGGUCAACUGAUACUGUGCGACUAGAGUGCGGAAGGGGCAACUGGAAUUCUCGGUGUAGCGGUGAAAUUCGUAGAUAUUCGGAGGAACACCAGUGGCGAAGGCGGCUCACUGGCUCGGUACUGACGCUGAGGUGCGAAAGCGUGGGGAGCAAACAGG
rnacentral:rRNA from 1 species